rnacentral:lncRNA from 1 species
AUUAAUCAUGUGAAAUAAAAACCAUAAUCAUCAAAGAACAUAUAUAGGGAAUUAAUUAAAUAAAAAGAGAUAAUUAUUUCAUUGAAUAGGGUUUCAUCCUUAACCUCAGUAUAAGAAAAUUAGCUAGACAUACUUGAAUUGUGAGCAACAAAAAAAAUAAAAUCAGCCAUGGAAGCCGAAAUAUUGCUACUGCCGAUUGCUCUCUUCCAGCCUUUUGUUUCUGUCCUCUGGCCGCCUCCUUCUCCAAAAGCCAAAACUCCCUUUUAUAAUCUUUGAAAUGGGCCCCAUCUCUUAAAUCCUAAAGCCAAAAGGCUUGCCUUUUAUUUCCUUUAGCUCUCACACGUGACCACCUUUGGAAUUGCUUUAAGAUUCCUUUUCCAAUUAUG